ACCAGGAUGGCUGAGUGGUUAAGGCGUUGGACUUAAGAUCCAAUGGGCAAAAGCCCUCAUAGGUUCGAACCCCUCUCCUGGUA
rnacentral:tRNA from 1 species